UACGGGGGGGGCAAGCGUUGUUCGGAAUCACUGGGCGUAAAGCGCACGUAGGCGGCUUCUUAAGUCAGGGGUGAAAUCCUGGAGCUCAACUCCAGAACUGCCUUUGAUACUGAGGAUCUUGAGUUCGGGAGAGGUGAGUGGAACUGCGAGUGUAGAGGUGAAAUUCGUAGAUAUUCGCAAGAACACCAGUGGCGAAGGCGGCUCACUGGUCCGAUACUGACGCUGAGGCACGAAAGCGUGGGGAGCAAACAGG
rnacentral:rRNA from 1 species